rnacentral:rRNA from 1 species
UACAGAGGGGGCAAGCGUUGUUCGGAAUUACUGGGCGUAAAGGGCGCGUAGGCGGCCUCCUAAGUCGAACGUGAAAUCCCCGGGCUCAACCCGGGAACUGCGUUCGAGACUGGUUGGCUUGAAUCCGGGAGAGGGAUGCGGAAUUCCAGGUGUAGCGGUGAAAUGCGUAGAUAUCUGGAGGAACACCGGUGGCGAAGGCGGCAUCCUGGACCGGCAUUGACGCUGAGGCGCGAAAGCCAGGGGAGCAAACGGG